rnacentral:rRNA from 1 species
CCCAGACUCCUACGGGAGGCAGCAGUGGGGAAUAUUGGGCAAUGGGCGCAAGCCUGACCCAGCAACGCCGCGUGAAGGAAGAAGGCUUUCGGGUUGUAAACUUCUUUUAAGAGGGACGAAGGAAGUGACGGUACCUCUUGAAUAAGCCACGGCUAACUACGUGCCAGCAGCCGCGGUAAUACGUAGGUGGCAAGCGUUAUCCGGAUUUAUUGGGUGUAAAGGGCGUGUAGGCGGGAGCGCAAGUCAGAUGUGAAAACUCAGGGCUCAACCCUGAGCCUGCAUUUGAAACUGUGUUUCUUGAGUGCUGGAGAGGCAAUCGGAAUUCCGUGUGUAGCGGUGAAAUGCGUAGAUAUACGGAGGAACACCAGUGGCGAAGGCGGAUUGCUGGACAGUAACUGACGCUGAGGCGCGAAAGCGUGGGGAGCAAACAGGAUUAGAUACCCUCGUAAAA